rnacentral:rRNA from 1 species
AUUGAACGCUGGCGGCAUGCCUUACACAUGCAAGUCGAACGGUAACGGGCCUUCGGGUGCCGACGAGUGGCGAACGGGUGCGUAAUACAUCGGCAUGUGCCCGCUCGUGGGGGGUCACGAGGCGCAAGCUUUGCUAAUACCUCAUACGAUCUACGAUUUAGAGCAGGAGGCCGCAAUGCUUUGCGCGGGCGUUGCGGCCGCUGGCAGAUUAGGUAGUUGGUCGGGUAAAAGCUGACCAAGCCGACGAUUUGUAGCUGGUCUGAGAGGAUGAUCCGCCACACUGGGACUGAGACACGGCCCAGACUCCUACGGGAGGCAGCAGUGGGGAAUUUUGGACAAUGGGCGCAAGCCUGAUGCAGCCAUGCCGCGUGCAGGAUGAAGGCCUUCGGGUUGUAAACUGCUUUUGUACGGAACGAAAAGCCUUCUUUUAAUACAGGAGGGUCAUGACGGUACCGAAAGAAUAAGCACCGGCUAACUACGUG